rnacentral:rRNA from 1 species
AACGAACGCUGGCGGCAUGCCUAACACAUGCAAGUCGAACGAGAUCUUCGGGUCUAGCGGCGCACGGGUGCGUAACGCGUGGGAAUCUGCCCUUUGGUUCGGAAUAACAGUUGGAAACGACUGCUAAUACCGGAUGAUGACGAAAAUCCAAAGAUUUAUCGCCAGAGGAUGAGCCCGCGUAGGAUUAGCUAGUUGGUGUGGUAAAGGCGCACCAAGGCGACGAUCCUUAGCUGGUCUGAGAGGAUGAUCAGCCACACUGGGACUGAGACACGGCCCAGACUCCUACGGGAGGCAGCAGUGGGGAAUAUUGGACAAUGGGCGAAAGCCUGAUCCAGCAAUGCCGCGUGAGUGAUGAAGGCCUUAGGGUUGUAAAGCUCUUUUACCCGGGAUGAUAAUGACAGUACCGGGAGAAUAAGCUCCGGCUAACUCCGUGCCAGCCGCCGCAGUAA